GGGGGAUAUUGCGCAAUGGGGGAAACCCUGACGCAGCAACGCCGCGUGAAGGAAGAAGGCCUUCGGGUUGUAAACUUUUGUCUUAUGGGAAGAUAAUGACGGUACCAUAGGAGGAAGCCCCGGCUAACUACGUGCCAGCAGCCGCGGUAAUACGUAGGGGGCGAGCGUUGUCCGGAUUUACUGGGUGUAAAGGGCGUGUAGGCGGGAUUGAAAGUCAGAUGUGAAAUACGGGGGCUUAACCCCCGGGCGGCAUUUGAAACUUCAGUUCUUGAGUGCAGGAGAGGUAAGCGGAAUUCCCGGUGUAGCGGUGAAAUGCGUAGAGAUCGGGAGGAACACCAGUGGCGAAGGCGGCUUACUGGACUGCAACUGACGCUGAGGCGCGAAAGCGUGGGGAGCAAAC
rnacentral:rRNA from 1 species